UUUUUGCAUAUCAAUAAGCGGAGGAAAAGAAACCAACAGGGAUUGCCUCAGUAACGGCGAGUGAAGCGGCAAAAGCUCAAAUUUGAAACCCUCGGGAUUGUAAUUUGAAUGAUUUGGCAUUGGAGAAAGCUAACCCAAGUUACUUGGAAUAGUACGUCAUAGAGGGUGACAACCCCGUCUGGCUAACCGUUCUCCAUGUAUUGCCUUAUCAAAGAGUCGAGUUGUUUGGGAAUGCAGCUCAAAGUGGGUGGUAAACUCCAUCUAAAGCUAAAUACUGGUGAGAGACCGAUAGCGAACAAGUACUGUGAAGGAAAGGUGAAAAGAACUUUGAAAAGAGAGUGAAAUAGUAUGUGAAAUUGUUGAUAGGGAAGGAAAUGAGUGGAGAGUGGUUUAGGUUUCAGCCUUCUUUCGAGGGGGUGCACUACCAACGCCGAGUCAUUGAUAGCGAGACAGGGGUUAUAAACGGACGGCACUUGUGCUAUUCUCCUAACCCCUCUACUGCCACCAACGACAUAAUCCACCCAUUUCACCCGUCUUGAAACACGGACCAAAAAAA
rnacentral:rRNA from 1 species